AUUGAACGCUGGCGGCAGGCCCAACACAUGCAAGUCGAGCGGUAGCACAGAGAGCUUGCUCUCGGGUGACGAGCGGCGGACGGGUGAGUAAUGUCUGGGAAACUGCCUGAUGGAGGGGGAUAACUACUGGAAACGGUAGCUAAUACCGCAUAAUGUCGCAAGACCAAAGUGGGGGACCUUCGGGCCUCAUGCCAUCAGAUGUGCCCAGAUGGGAUUAGCUAGUAGGUGGGGUAACGGCUCACCUAGGCGACGAUCCCUAGCUGGUCUGAGAGGAUGACCAGCCACACUGGAACUGAGACACGGUCCAGAAUCCGACGGGAGGCAGCAGUGGGGAAUAUUGCACAAUGGGCGCAAGCCUGAUGCAGCCAUGCCGCGUGUGUGAAGAAGGCCUUCGGGUUGUAAAGCACUUUCAGCGGGGAGGAAGGCGUUAAGGUUAAUAACCUUGGCGAUUGACGUUACCCGCAGAAGAAGCACCGGCUAACUCCGUGCCAGCCGCCGCCGUAA
rnacentral:rRNA from 1 species